rnacentral:rRNA from 1 species
UACGUAGGUGGCAACGUUGUCCGGAUUUACUGGGCGUAAAGAGCGCGCAGGCGGUCGUUCAAGUCGCGUGUGAAAGCCCCGGCUCAACUGGGGAGGGUCACGCGAUACUGAUCGACUCAAGGCAGGAGAGGGAAGUGGAAUUCCCGGUGUAGUGGUGAAAUGCGUAGAUAUCGGGAGGAACACCAGUGGCGAAGGCGGCUUUCUGGGCCUUACCUGAC